rnacentral:lncRNA from 1 species
AACCGGGUAACGUCUCGGUGCCGAUAAUAGCGGUCAACCCUAUUUACCGUUAUUAAUCCCUAUGGGGAGCCCUAUCGUCGGAAGGUAAAUGUCUCAAAAUUUUUAUAUAGGCGGUUGCGUCUCAUCUACGUGAAAGUUUUUUGUAUGGAAUGUUUGACCAAACUACAUAAUAUAGAGGGAGAUAUGAGCGUUUUCGUGUGAUAAGUGACGAUGGAUUAGAGUUAACCGUUUCGAUCGAGCCCUUAACGUUGUCGGAUCCAGUUGAAUUUUUUACCAUAGACAUCUUUCGUCAUAAUGAUCAUAUCUGACGGUCGAAUUUUGGUUUGUGAAUUUUAGUCAUCGGAAUCAUAACGUGUCUACUAAUGUUGUAUAACGUGUUUAGUAGGUUAUACAACUUUGUGAACCAACUCUACAUAGAAAGCAAAAUUAUCAAAAAUCUCGUAAAAUAAAAUGUGUUCAGAAUGGUGAAAUACGGCUAUGUUUCAAAAAUCACGUAAAUCGGGUAACGUCUCGGUGCCGAUAAUAGCGGUCAACCCUAUUUACCAUUAUUAUUCCCUAUGGGGAGCCUUAUCGUCGGAAGGUAAAUGUCUCAAAAUUUUUAUAUAGGCGGUUGCGUCUCAUCUACGUGAAAGUUUUUUGUGUGGAAGGUUUGACCAAACUACGUAAUAUAGAGUAUAGAGGGAGAUAUGUGUUGUGAUAUCGGUCAAUUAUGUAUGUCAAGGAACCCCAAAAGAACACAACAAACCAAGAGAAACAACCAUAGAGAUAAGACACAAAGAACACAGAUUUAAGGUGGUUCAGCAAAACCUUUGCCUACAUCCACCGGCAGAAAACACUUCCACUAUAUUAAUAAUGGGUACACCAAAAAGAAUAAGAAAACAAGGACUCUCUCACUUCUCUUCAUAUAUCUCUCUCCUCUCUGCCCUCUCUCACCCUCUAACCGAUAGGAGUUUUACCGGAGGUGGAUGGUAAGAAGUCAGAAAAUCAGAAAAAGUUACUGUUUCGCCUGCCGGAUUUUCUUCUUGGCCUAGCUCCGCUGUGAAGCCACCGGAGACCGCCACACUUGUCUCAAAAGCUUCGCCGUCAUCUCUACUUCAUUGCUGGACAGGUGGUGCAUCGAGUGGCGUCGCCAUGAGGGAUAAAUCGAGCUCCAAAACUCCGCCGGUUCGGAUUCGGUGUCGAUCGAAUUAAGCUAACAGGCCGCGAAACUUUUUCGUCGGCUAAAAUGUUUGUCCUGGUAGUGAAGGUCGUUCGUCCUUCCCAAAAAAAAAUGUUUAGUUAUAUUAUUAUCAAAGAAUUGUAGUUGGGAAGCAUGUAGCAUGCGCAUGCCUAAUAGACAGAGUACGUACCCCACGCAAUAGGUACAUGAAGAAAUUCUCACAUGCGACGGUCGUACCACAUCACAAAUGCAAAUAAUCAUAGAGUAACACGCGUCCUUGUUUUCUUUUUUAUUUUUUUUAUUUUUUAUUUUUUUUAUACCUCAGCUCUACUGAAAAGAGAGGACAAAACAAAUCAGAAUCUCUCUGAUCAAAACCCAGGUUCUC